UACGUAGGGUGCAAGCGUUAAUCGGAAUACUGGGCGUAAAGCGUGCGCAGGCGGUGAUGUAAGACAGUUGUGAAAUCCCCGGGCUCAACCUGGGAACUGCAUCUGUGACUGCAUCGCUGGAGUACGGUAGAGGGGGAUGGAAUUCCGCGUGUAGCAGUGAAAUGCGUAGAGAUGUGGAGGAAUACCGAUGGCGAAGGCAGCCCCCUGGGAUAACACUGACGCUCAUGCACGAAAGCGUGGGGAGC
rnacentral:rRNA from 1 species